UAAACAUUGGUACAUUAUUACAUUUUCAAUCCGCCCGGGUACUACAAGCGCUAGCUUAAAACCCAAAGGACUUGGCGGUGCUUAAGAUCCCCCUAGAGGAGCCUGUUCUAGAACCGAUAAUCCACGUUUAACCUCACCCUCCCUUGUUUCUCCCGCCUAUAUACCGCCGUCGUCAGCUUACCCUGUGAAGGUCUAACAGUGAGCAAAAAUGGCACAGCCCAAAACGUCAGGUCGAGGUGUAGCGCAUGAGAGGGGAAGAAAUGGGCUACAUUCUCUAAAAUAGAAGCAUACGGAUAAUAUAUUGAAAUAUUUAUUUUAAGGAGGAUUUAGCAGUAAGUAGAAAUUAGAAUAUUCCACUGAAUCCGGCCCUAAAGCGCGC
rnacentral:rRNA from 1 species